rnacentral:lncRNA from 1 species
AGGUGUGCCCCCGACCUUUCCCCUUUCCCCUCUGCACGCCUCCUUCCACUACCACCUGAUGGACAUUUACAAACCCCUGGAAUUGGGAAUUGUUUCUAAAGGGCCCUGUUCUAUACCAAUCAGGUAAACAAACCCCAGCAAACCCAAUUAUCAUUUAUUAUCAUAUUAAUAUACCCCUACUCUUUCAUAUUUGCAUUUUAAAAGGAACUUUCUUGAGAUAAUAUCUUAUCAUAAAAGCAGUAAGCCAGAGGGGAAGAUGAUUUUUCUUCAGAAAGAAGUGUCUCCCGGCUGUAGCUUCAUCUUGCGAGGACUCUAACUUUGAGGAAUCAUGAUAUCUUUGUUAGGACGCUUCAAGCCGACCCUGCGUGCUUACUUAGCAAACUCCGUCUUCCGUAAACAGACAUUGUAGAAGGAAGAUUAGCCCUGAGCUAACAUCUGCCACCAAUCCUCCUGUUUUUUUCUGAGGAAGACUGGCCCUGAGCUAACAUCCAUGCCCAUCUUCCUCUACUUUAUAUGUGGGACACCUGCCACAGCAUGGUUUGACAAGCAGUGAGUAGGACUGCACCCGGGGGCCGAACCGGUGAACUCUGGGCUGCCAAAGCAGAACAUGUGCACUUAACCACUGUGCCACUGGGCUAGUCCCUUAACUGUGUCUUUUGAUGAACAAGAGUUCUAAACUUGAAUGUAAUUGGCUCAUUAUUUUUUAUUCUACUCUGUUUUAAAACUUCUUUUCCCGUCAUAAUGCUGUAAAGAUAUUAUCCAAUAUUGUCUUCUAAAAGUUUGAUUGCAUUCUUUUUCUAUUAGGUCUGUAAUCCAUCUUUUUUAUGCAUAUGGUGUUAAGUAGGGUGUGUAAUUUCAUCCACCUUCCUAUGGUUAUCCAAUUGUCCCAGCACCACUUAUGGCAAGGCCAGUAUUUCCUUGCUCAUUUGCAAGAUUUGAUGAUCUCAGUCAAGCAUCAAAUAUCCACAUUUGGACUCUAAGUUCUGCCAACUAAUCUUUUUGCCUGUAACUGUGCAAAUACCACACCAUUUUAAAUACUAUAACUUUAUAAAUAAAUUUUAUAACUGGUAGGUCAAGUUGCUCCACUUUAUUCACCUUCUUUAAGAGUGGCUUGGUUAUUACUGACCUUUGCUCGUCCACUUAAAUUUUAGGAUUAGUUUGUUCAAAUUCAACAAAAAAAUACCCUGGGAUAUUUCUUGAAAUUUCAUUAAACCUAUAGAGCAAUUUGAGAGAAACGGCAUCUUUGAAAUAUUGUCUUUCUUCAGUGAACAUGGAAUCUCUCCAAUAGUUGUUUUUUUAAAUGUCUUUAAAAAAUUUUAUAAAUUUAUCUUCAAGAUCUUAUAACUCUAUUCUUCUAUUUAUCCU